rnacentral:tRNA from 1 species
GGGGAUUUAGCUCAGAGGCAGUGCACCUGCCUCUCAAGCAUAAGGUCCUGAGUUCAAUCCCUGAGACCCCC